AACUUGGAAUUGCUGAAACUGCUGCCCAAUAUGCCCUGGACAACCAGGAUAAAAAUCGCGCUGCGAAGCUCUCUUAGAAUGAAAGUUCUUGUAGUUCCAAUUAAGAGCUUCCCAUGUCAAGCAAAUCCGAGCAACAUAGGCAGCUUCUAGUUCAUGAUACGGAUUUUGGCGGAUAUCUGAAGGCUUCUUGUUUAUAGUUGUAAUCUUAUGAACAAUCCUAUCCGAAAUUGAUCUCGGACACACUUGAAUAGACUUGAGUGAAUCUGCAAAUAGCAAGUUUGAAACUCAAUAUUUCCACCCAGAAGAAGCAAAAAAAAAAAAGUUCGCAUAAAGUAA
rnacentral:misc_RNA from 1 species